rnacentral:rRNA from 1 species
AGAGUUUGAUCCUGGCUCAGAUUGAACGCUGGCGGCAUGCCUUACACAUGCAAGUCGAACGGUAACGCGGGGCAACCUGGCGACGAGUGGCGAACGGGUGAGUAAUGCAUCGGAACGUGCCCAGUAGUGGGGGAUAGCCCGGCGAAAGCCGGAUUAAUACCGCAUACGACCUAUGGGUGAAAGCGGGGGAUCGCAAGACCUCGCGCUAUUGGAGCGGCCGAUGUCAGAUUAGCUAGUUGGUGGGGUAAAGGCCUACCAAGGCGACGAUCUGUAGCUGGUCUGAGAGGACGACCAGCCACACUGGGACUGAGACACGGCCCAGACUCCUACGGGAGGCAGCAGUGGGGAAUUUUGGACAAUGGGGGCAACCCUGAUCCAGCCAUGCCGCGUGCGGGAAGAAGGCCUUCGGGUUGUAAACCGCUUUUGUCGGGGAAGAAACGGUCUGCGCUAAUACCGCGGACUAAUGACGGUACCCGAAGAAUAAGCACCGGCUAACUACGUGCCAGCAGCCGCGGUAAU